rnacentral:rRNA from 1 species
AUUGAACGCUGGCGGCAUGCCUUACACAUGCAAGUCGAACGGCAGCGCGGGAGCAAUCCUGGCGGCGAGUGGCGAACGGGUGAGUAAUACAUCGGAACGUGCCCAAUCGUGGGGGAUAACGCAGCGAAAGCUGUGCUAAUACCGCAUACGAUCUACGGAUGAAAGCAGGGGAUCGCAAGACCUUGCGCGAAUGGAGCGGCCGAUGGCAGAUUAGGUAGUUGGUGAGGUAAAGGCUCACCAAGCCUUCGAUCUGUAGCUGGUCUAAGAGGACGACCAGCCACACUGGGACUGAGACACGGCCCAGACUCCUACGGGAGGCAGCAGUGGGGAAUUAUGGACAAUGGGCGAAAGCCUGAUCCAGCCAUGCCGCGUGCAGGAUGAAGGCCUUCGGGUUGUAAACUGCUUUUGUACGGAACGAAACGGUCUUUUCUAAUAAAGAAGGCUAAUGACGGUACCGUAAGAAUAAGCACCGGCUAACUACGUG